rnacentral:lncRNA from 1 species
GCUCUGCGCGCGCCGCAGGCUGUAGCCGGCCGGGGUCGCAGCACGCCUCCCCGCUCCGCCCCCUCGCGCGCCGCCCGGCGCCCCGCGCACGCGCGCCGCCCCCUGCUCCUUCAGCGAGGGUCUGCGGGGAGCGCGCGUCCAACGGUCAGCGCCCCUCAGUGCACAGUCCCAGCGGCCUCGCUGGGCCGGCGCCUCCCGACCAAGUCUCUACGGUCGCCCUCCCCUCGGGGUGGCCACGAGGGACUCCUCCUCCUCUUCCUCCUCCCCUCCCUCCCCCUCGGUCUCCGCCUCCUCCUUCUCCUCCUCCUUCACUGCCCCGACCUCCCGCCCCAGGUUCCACGCGCUCUGAUGCCCGCCCCGCUCACCCAGAGAAGCCCUGGGCCAGACGUCCACAACCCAAGGGGUUAUGGGGAGGCCUCUGCUCCCUGGACACAGUAGUUCUCAAACUGGACAGUGUCAAUCAGCAUCCUCCGGGAGGUCUGGGGUGGCCCCGGAAAUACAUGUGUCCCACCUAUCCCAGCAGGUAAUGAUGAAACUCCUGCUCUGGUCCGGGCUACCGGUGAACAGCGCCCAGCGGGCCGGGCCCCCAACCUCGCUCCUGAGCCUGAACAUCCCCCCAACCCCACCGUGAGAAUUCAGCGAAGAGUAAAAGCUGGAAAAAGUUGCGUGUCUUAGGCUAAGCAGAACAAAGUGGGGUGACGGCUCCCCGGCUAGGAACAGAGAUGCCCUUAGGGAGCCCUCUGAUGGAAGAGCUCUCCGCUUAAGAAGGUCACCACUCCCUUACACUCAGCCCCCCUCAAUCUGAUUCCCUGCUAUGCCUGCCAUCACCACUGGCCAGUUUUACCACAUGCUUCUCAAGACCCAAGGCACAAUAGGCAUAAAGUUGUCCUGAAAAGGACAAGAGGAGUGUCAGAAGUAGGAAUGGCAGUUGAAGGAGCUUCGUCUGCCAGCAGAAAGCUGAAAUGACAGGCAAGCACAAAAUAUAUUAAGGAGACAAAGCUAUGCAUGAGCGAAAUAUCAAACUUUCAUCUUCUACCCACUUUUUUUUUUUUUUUUUGCUUAAAAACAGGAAGACAGAAUGUCUUGUCAAGGGUCACCCCAGGAGGAGGAGUAAAUUCCCCAAAAAGCGGAACAUAUUUUUAUGAUUUAAUUAAUACAAUUUCUCUCAAUG